GGGCCCCAUGAAUUUCGAUCCCCCAUUCCAAACAAUCAGAUUCUGAAAAUAAGAAUUGACUAAGCUUCGACUUGCUCGAUCUGUCCGCUCUUCAGCACGACAUUUCAAAUGAAUGCAUGAAUUUUCCUGAAGGAAGUCCGCUGCUGCUUUAAUUGCCCAGCCCCAUAUCAAAAAAUGGAGAAAAUCAAUGAUUGAACAACAUUUUAGUUAUUUUGAAGGUCCGAGAUUUUCUCUUCUAAUGCUACUAUCAACGUUGUAUCGUCUGCAUAUUAUGCAGAUUUGCAUGUUUUCCAAUACGCGUAAAGCAUAUUUGAGUAUAUUCAUACAGAGUGUAAUAAUCUGGCGGAAAAUAAAAAUUUCUACUUAAUUGCAAUAA